CAGUCGCCACGGUAAUACAGAGGGUGCAAGCGUUAAUCGGAAUUACUGGGCGUAAAGCGCGCGUAGGUGGUUCGCCAAGUUGGAUGUGAAAUCCCCGGGCUCAACCUGGGAACUGCAUCCAAAACUGGCGAGCUAGAGUAUGGUAGAGGGUGGUGGAAUUUCCUGUGUAGCGGUGAAAUGCGUAGAUAUAGGAAGGAACAUCAGUGGCGAAGGCGACCACCUGGACUGAUACUGACACUGAGGUGCGAAAGCGUGGGGAGCAAACAGGAUUAGAUACCCCUGUAGUCCUUGUCUCUUAUAC
rnacentral:rRNA from 1 species